CAAUAAAUCUAAAGUUAUUUUGAAAUCAAAAGUUUCUUAUCUAACAAACUAACGGGAUAAAGGGGAAAGUCUUUGAGCCUGAGCUCCUGGAUGCCCUGCCUCUCACUGAUGACGUAAGAACAAGGGGGUGAGAGGAGGCCAUCACACACUCUUCUGCCAACAGGAAAGUCGGGCUGAGAGGGUAGUCAUGUCUGGACAAGGGGGAGGGGCCUACUGACUGAGAAGAUGGCAAGAGAAGAGGAGUGGGGGACCUGACCCAAUAUCUAUAGCAUGUGGGAGACAAGUGCCAAGUAGGAAGAGGAUGGUGGUAGAACUCCCAAUGGCCCACCCUGAGAUGGCUUCAAAUCAAGUCCCACGGGCAGAAAGCAAACAGUGGCUCCAC
rnacentral:lncRNA from 1 species